rnacentral:lncRNA from 1 species
AUGCAUACCGGAGAGAAACCUUAUGAAUGUCAUCAGUGGGAAAAAGCCUUUUCAAGUCACAGUAAUCUCCUACAACCUAAAGGAACACAUACUGGAGAGAAAUGCUAUGAAUGUGAUCUGUGUGGUAAAGCCUUUUCACAACACUAUACUGUCCAAAAGCAUAAAAGAACACAUAUAGGACAGAAACCCUACAAAUGUAAUGAAUGUGAUAAAGCCUUUUCACAAAAUCGUGAUCUCCAAACGCAUAAAAGAAGACAUACUGGAGAGAAACCAUACAACUGUAAUAAAUGUGAGAAAGCCUUUUCACAACAUAAUGCCCUCCAGUAUCAUAGAAGAAUUCAUAGUGGAGAGAAACCCUACAAAUGUAAUAAAUGUGAGAAAGCCUUUUCACAACAUAAUGCCCUCAAGUAUCAUAGAAGAAUUCAUAGUGGAGAGAAACCCUACAAAUGUAAUGAAUGUGAUAAAGUAUUUAGACAAAGCAGUGAUCUCCAAAAGCAUAGAAGGACACACACAGGAGAAAAACCCUACAAAUGUAAUCAGUGUGAGAAAGUCUUCUCCCAACAUCAUCAUCUCCAAAUCCAUAAAAGAUCACAUACUGGAGAGAAACCCUUCAAAUGUAAUGAAUGUGAUAAAGCCUUUUCACAACUUGGUAACCUCCAGUCACAUAGACGAAUUCAUACUGGAGAGAAACCCUACAAAUGUAAUACAUGUGAGAAAGCCUUUUCACAACAUAGUCAUCUCCAGUCACAUAGAAGAAUUCAUACUGGAGAGAAACCCUACAGAUGUAAUAAAUGUGAGAAAGCCUUUUCACAACAUAGUAACCUCCAGUCGCAUAGAAGAAUUCAUAAUGGAGAGAAAUCCUUUAAAUGUAAUAAAUGUGAGAAAGCCUUUUUACAACACUAUAGCCUCCAAAGACAUAAAAGAAUACAUACUGGAUAG